CGGGACCCGUAGGGAGAGGCGGGUAGCGGGCGACGGCGGCGGCGGUUGUGGGGAGGCUGCGCGGCCGGGCGCAUGGGACCUGUCCUGCAGCGGCUCUCUCAGGCUGUGGGUCGUCGCUGCAGCUGCCGGGAAAGAAGGAAACGACGACUCCGGGGGCGAACUUGGCACACAGGGAGGAAGGGAAAGGAUGCAUGGCCAUGGGGGCUACGAUUCUGAUUUUAGUGAUGAUGAACACUGUGGAGAAUCCAGCAAAAGGAAAACAAGGACAGUUGAAGAUGACUUACUGCUCCAAAAACCAUUUCAGAAAGAAAAGCAUGGAAAGGUGGCCCAUAAACAAGUUGCAGCGGAAUUGCUGGAUAGGGAAGAAGCAAGAAAUAGAAGGUUUCAUCUCAUAGCUAUGGAUGCUUAUCAAAGACAUACAAAGUUUGUAAAUGACUACAUUUUAUAUUAUGGUGGCAAAAAAGAAGAUUUCAAGCGUUUGGGGGAAAAUGACAAGACAGACUUGGAUGUUAUACGAGAAAAUCAUAGAUUCCUAUGGAAUGAGGAGGACGAAAUGGACAUGACUUGGGAGAAGAGACUUGCUAAGAAAUACUAUGAUAAAUUAUUUAAGGAAUACUGCAUAGCAGAUCUCAGUAAAUAUAAAGAAAAUAAGUUUGGAUUUAGGUGGCGAGUAGAAAAAGAAGUAAUUUCAGGAAAAGGUCAGUUUUUUUGUGGAAAUAAAUAUUGUGAUAAAAAAGAAGGCUUAAAGAGUUGGGAAGUUAAUUUUGGUUAUGUUGAGCAUGGUGAAAAGAGAAAUGCACUUGUUAAAUUAAGGUUAUGCCAAGAAUGUUCCAUUAAAUUAAAUUUUCAUCACAGGAGAAAAGAAAUCAAGUCAAAAAAAAGAAAAGAUAAAACCAAAAAAGAUUGUGGAGAGUCAUCACGUAAAAAAUCCAGAUUAUCCUCUGCGGAAGAGGCCUCCAAGAAAAAAGAUAAAGGACAUUCAUCUUCAAAGAAGUCAGAAGAUUCUCUAAAGAGAAACUCUGAUGAGGAAGAAAGUGCUUCAGAAUCUGAACUUUGGAAGGGUCCACUACCAGAGACAGAUGAAAAAUCACAGGAAGAAGAAUUUGAUGAGUAUUUUCAGGAUUUGUUUCUAUAAGACGAGAGAGACUUAAUGUGAAACUUCAUGAAGUUUUAAACUUCAUGCAAUUUGAAAUUCCAUUGGGCCUGUGUAACUUUUGCAACUAUUAAUGAAUAUUGAAGACAUAUAUAAGUAAGUAAUAUUCCAUUUGUUUUUGAGCAUUGUGUUAAAGACAUUAUGUGGAGACAGGUGCACCAGAUGAGAAAGGAGACCUACUUCCCAGCCCCUGGCCAUGGGCCCUCACUUGCUCAGCUGCUUUCAUUUGCUCACGGAAAGAGUCUAUUUUAUUUUCCCUGACUAUUAAAAUGGCAAUAGAAAUAUGAAUUCUGCAUAGCACACCCCAAACAGGUAGAAAUGGCUUUAAUUCAUUCAGAUUGUGGCUCUCGAGUUAGCUGAGGCCAGGGAAAGUACAGGCCGUUCUAAUCUUCAGUGUGGUGCCUAUGACGCCCACAAGAGAGUAUUGCCAACGUGUUCCUGCUUUGCUAGUGGCAGUACACAAGGUAUUUGAUUUCUCCUUCACAUUUCUAUGUGUAAAAUGGGGCAGGCUGAUGGGGUUGGUAUGAAAAAGCAUAAAUAAAAUUAUCAUACACUUUGGAAAGAGAUGUUCUGAAUAAUAACAGGAUUUUGUUAUUUAUGCUGAGCAAUAUAUUUUGUCAUUUCUAUAGUAUAUUCUAGUAUUAAAAUUUAUACUCAUGCAAAUUCGGCUAACAAAGUUUCCACCCAUUCAUUCAGGUUAAAGCAUUGAUUUCUGUCUGGUUUAGAGUAUAGGCAGUUCUGUUCCUCAAAGCAGUGGAUCCAUCACUGCUGGGAUAGAAGGACAUUGCAGUUCAAAGCCUUAUAAUAUGCAAAACAAAAUGUCUGAGUAGUGCCCACAAAUGCUGAAAUUACUGAAUAAAUCCCAAGGAUUUCCCUUAUUUAAAAAAAUUAAAAUUUUUAGUGUGUAUAUUUUCUUUAGACAAUGAAAAAAAUAGAAGAAUUACAUUGUCUCCCCAAAAUGUAAAAAGAAUAUCUGAUAGGUAACAGUCUUUUUGUGUGUGUGUCCAAGUUGACUGCUCAUAAACAGGCUGUGUGUGACUGCAUUGCCUAGCGACUCUAUUGACAAGGCUUUAAAAGUCUGCAAUUAGCAGAUUGAAUGGUAUUACAGAGAGGUCCUUGAAAAGAUGGUAUAGAUUACUGAGAUGCAAUAUUCCUCUUUAGAAAGAAUAAUAAGUCUUUAUAUAGCCAUCAAAGCCAGUUCAGACUGCAAAGUAAAUAACAUUAAAAAACUUCAGAUGGAAAACUGUAACUCUACUCUAAACUUCAAAAUCCCAGAAGGAAAAACAUUUAAGAUUAGGAGCCUUCCAGUGUUAAGCAUUUAGAUAUUUGGCUGCUGUUUUAAAACUGUAUUUUGUUUUAAUAGGUAACUGUAUGAUUAUGUGAUACAUGACAUUUGACACUACCUCACUGUGGUAUCAUAUAAACAGUGAGAUUUACAGAAAAUUCUUACUCAGAAACCAAAGAUUGUCCCAACCAGAAAAACAAAGACUUUUACCAAAUUAGGUAAUAACAAUUUACUCUUACAUUCCUGAGUUACUUUCAGUUCCGCUGCUUCUUUUAAUUCUCAUAGAACAGGUGUUACCUAUGCUGUGAAUUCUGCUGCAGGGAGAGAUUCUGUCUGCAUAUCAGAAUUAAAAGUGUUCUGGUUCACAAUACAGAUUUCCAGGCCCAAAUUCCAGAAAAUCUGGUCAGUAAGUGGAGAAUGGGGCCCGGGAUCUGUGCCUUAAUAGCCUGCCUUUCCCUGCCUUGUUAAAUUAAUGAGUCCGAAAGAGUUGAUCCAGGUACCCAUUUCUGAGAAUCACCAUCUGGACUCAUACAAGGUUAGCGCUUUGCCAAGAGCAUUGCAGAAUUAGAAAUGCCACAGCAGGUUUGGGAUGGCAAUGGUGUUGGGUGCUGUGUCAAUCACAGAUUGUUAAAACAACGCAAGCAGUUUUCUUGUUUUUCCAUUUGUCUGCCCAGUUGCUCUGCCUUAUGAUAUUUUCCUGCUUGGCUUAUGAAGACCAUCUUGGAUUUUCAUUACCUAGAAGAAUUUAGUAUUCUCUCUAAACUUGGAUAUCUUUCUGUAUAUUCUCCCUGAGCUUUUAAUAGAAGAUUAUUAUUAAAACUGAGAAAAGCCCACUCUCCAGAGGGCUCAUGUAUCCUAAUGAGCGUGUGAUUCUAAACAAGUUCACUGCUUGUGACAAAACAGUGCUCCCCUCAAUCUAAUGACUCACCUGAAUCAUUUUUGGUUUGGAACAUUCUUGUGUAAUUAGACAACAUCCACAACUUUCCACAUGCCCAUAUAUCCCUUCAAUAAAAUUGAUCAAGGGAAGAAGAAUGACUACGUUCUCUGGAAGAUUAGUAGUACAGAACAUGUGCAAUUCACAAUGAAUUCAAAGGGCUCAGAGCCGCUCCUGCAGAAAGCCAUCUCUGAUCCCACCCUCUUUGCCCCUUUCUGCUGCCACAGUCUUCACACAAAUGUGGUUUUUCCCUUUGGAACUCUCAGAGCAUGGUUCAGUGCCUUUCUGAUGGUGGCUAAGUCAUGCCUUCCUCCAUGAUAUAGUUGGAUCUAUGUCCCCACCCAAACCCCAUGUUCAGUUGUAAUUCCCAAUGUUGGAAGUGGGUCCUAGUGGGAGGUGAUUGGAUCUUGGGAGCUGUGUUUCGUAUGAAUGGUUUAGCCCCAUCCUCCUCGGUCACAAUACUGAGUGAGUUCUCAUGAGAUCUGGUUGUUUGAAAGUGUGUGGUACCUCCCCGCCACCUCUCUUCCUUCUGCUCUGGCCAUGUGAAGUGCUCGCUCCCCCUUCAGCUUCCACCAUGAUUCUAGGCUCCCUGAGGGCUGCGCAGAGGUUAAUGCUGCCAUGCUUCCUGUACAGCCUGCAGAACCGUGAGUGAAUUAAACCUCUUUUCUUUAUAA